GGUUAUAUAGUAUAGUAGUUAGUACAUACGCCUUCUAUAUACUUAGCCUUAGGGCCUCUAGCUAUCCUAGGGUUAAGUAAGGCUUUGUAUAAAGUUAUAGGUUCGAAUCCUAUUAUAGCCU